rnacentral:rRNA from 1 species
GAUGAACGCUGGCGGCGUGCCUAAUACAUGCAAGUCGAGCGAACAGACGAGGAGCUUGCUCCUCUGACGUUAGCGGCGGACGGGUGAGUAACACGUGGAUAACCUACCUAUCAGACUGGGAUCACUUCGGGAAACCGGAGCUAAUACCGGAUAAUCUAUUGCACCGCAUGGUUCAAUAGUGAAAGACGGUUUUGCUGUCUCUUAUAGAUGGUUCUGCGCGGCAUUAGCUAGUUGGUAAGGUAACGGCUUACCACGGCAACGAUGCGUAGCCGACCUGAGAGGGUGAUCGGCCACACUGGAACGGAGACACGGUCCAGACUCCUACGGGAGGCAGCAGUAGGGAAUCUGCCGCAAUGGGCGAAAGCCUGACGGAGCAACGCCGCGUGAGUGAUGAAGGUCUUCGGAUCGUAAAACUCUGUUAUGAGGGAAGAACAAAUGUGUAAGGAACUAUGCACGUCGUGACGGUACCUAAUCAGAAAGCCACGGCUAACUACGUG